AGAGAUCAUGGCUCAGAUUGAACGCUGGCGGCAUGCCUUACACAUGCAAGUCGAACGGCAGCGCGGGGCAACCUGGCGGCGAGUGGCGAACGGGUGAGUAAUAUAUCGGAACGUACCCUGGAGUGGGGGAUAACGUAGCGAAAGUUACGCUAAUACCGCAUACGAUCUAAGGAUGAAAGCAGGGGACCGCAAGGCCUUGUGCUCCUGGAGCGGCCGAUAUCUGAUUAGCUAGUUGGUGGGGUAAAGGCCUACCAAGGCAUCGAUCAGUAGCUGGUCUGAGAGGACGACCAGCCACACUGGAACUGAGACACGGUCCAGACUCCUACGGGAGGCAGCAGUGGGGAAUUUUGGACAAUGGGCGCAAGCCUGAUCCAGCAAUGCCGCGUGAGUGAAGAAGGCCUUCGGGUUGUAAAGCUCUUUUGUCAGGGAAGAAACGGUGAAGGCUAAUAUCCUUUGCUAAUGACGGUACCUGAAGAAUAAGCACCGGCUAACUACGUGCCAGCAGCCGCGGUAAUACGUAGGGUGCAAGCGUUAAUCGGAAUUACUGGGCGUAAAGCGUGCGCAGGCGGUUUUGUAAGUCUGUCGUGAAAUCCCCGGGCUCAACCUGGGAAUUGCGAUGGAGACUGCAAGGCUAGAAUCUGGCAAGGGGGUAGAAUUCCAC
rnacentral:rRNA from 1 species